rnacentral:misc_RNA from 1 species
AGUCGUAACAAGGUUUCCGUAGGUGAACCUGCGGAAGGAUCAUUAACAACAAAUCUGUGCUCGGCUCGCCCGGGAACAUUAGCACCUAGCCUCUCCGGUAUGGGUGGGGCUAGAAUGCACAUAAUAAUAAUAAUCAUAUAUUAUUAUAUAUAUAUUCGCGCAUUUAUUGUAUACUUGUAUUAUUGAUAUUGUAUUAUUAUUAAUUUUUAUGACACUUUUAACAAUGGAUCUCUUGGUUCCU